rnacentral:rRNA from 1 species
GACGAACGCUGGCGGCGUGCUUAACACAUGCAAGUCGAACGGGAAGGCCCUGCUUUAGUCUUCUGCUCAUUUGGCGGACUGCUAAUUAACACGUGGGUAGCCUGCCCUUGACUAUGUGACAUCUUCAGGAAACUGGCGCUCAUACCGGAUAGGUGCUACUGCUGAAUGGUAGGGGAUGGAAAGUUUCGGCGGUUGGGGAUGGACUCGCGGCUUAUCAGCUUGUUGUUGGGGUAGUGGCUUACCAAGGCUUUGACGGGUAGCCGGACUGAGAGGGUGACCGGCAACAUUGGGAUUGGGAUACGGCCCAGACUACUACCGGAGGCAGCGGUGGAGAAUAGUGCACAAUGCGAUGAAGCCUGAUGCAGCGACGCCGCGUGGGGGAUGAGGGGAAGCGGGUUGGAAACCGCUUUCGCCUGUGAAGAAGCGUGAGUGACGGUAAUGGGCAAAGAAGCACCGGCUAACUACGUG